GAUGAACGCUGGCGGCGUGCCUAAUACAUGCAAGUCGAGCGAACGGACGAGAAGCUUGCUUCUCUGAUGUUAGCGGCGGACGGGUGAGUAACACGUGGAUAACCUACCUAUAAGACUGGGAUAACUUCGGGAAACCGUAGCUAAUACCGGAUAAUAUUUUGAACCGCAUGGUUCAAAAGUGAAAGACGGUCUUGCUGUCACUUAUAGAUGGAUCCGCGCUGCAUUAGCUAGUUGGUAAGGUAACGGCUUACCAAGGCAACGAUGCAUAGCCGACCGGAGAGAGUGAUCGGCCACACGGGAACUGAGACACGGUCCAGACGCCUACGGGAGGCAGCAGUAGGGAAUCUUACGCAAUGGGCGAAAGCCUGACGGAGCAACGCCGCGUGAGUGAUAAAGGUCUUCGGAUCGGAAAACUCUGUUAUUAGGGAAGAACAUAUGUGGAAGUAACUGUGCACAUCUUGACGGUACCUAAUCAGAAAGCCACGGCUAACUACGUG
rnacentral:rRNA from 1 species